CCUACGGGAGGCAGCAGUGAGGAAUAUUGGUCAAUGGGAGAGAUCCUGAACCAGCAAAGCCGCGUGAGGGAAGACGGCCCUAUGAGUGGUAAACCUCUUUUGUCGGGGAACAAAACCCGGGGCGUAUCCCUGAAUGCGUGUAUCCGAAGAAACAGCAUCGGCGAACUCCUUGCCAGCAGCCGGGGUAAUACGGAGGAUGCGAGGGUUAUCCGGGUUGAUUGGGUUUAAAGGGUGCGUAGGCGGUCCGUUAAGUCAGCGGUAAAAUUGCGGGGCUCAACCCCGUCGAGCCGUUGAAACUGGCAGACUUGAGUUGGCGAGAAGUACGCGGAAUGCGCGGUGUAGCGGUGAAAUGCAUAGAUAUCGCGCAGAACUCCGAUGGCGAAGGCAGCGUACCGGCGCCAGACUGACGCUGAGGCACGAAAGCGUGGGGAGCGAACAGGAUUAGAUACCCCUGUAGUC
rnacentral:rRNA from 1 species